CCUCAUAGUUAAUGUUUAAUUUCUGAGCUGAGUAAAUGGACCCACGCUGCUGGCGACAGAAGGGAGGAUGCCAGUAGAAUGGGUGUGAGGAUUUAUUUAGCAAUCGAGUCCUGCUUUGUGGCCGUCUCUUAUAAGGCUUUCGUAUGAAAUUUAGAUUAUAAUUCCCUGCUCGGCUUUGAUGCUCUCUGUCCUGGUUAAAAUCACAUCAACCCUUCAGUCGCAUAAGAAGACCACAGCCUGAGUGCCCAUUUCCAAAUUCUCUGAUUUUUGUGGAUGCAGAAUUUAAGAAGGCAAGAUUAUUUGUGCUAGCACUUUAAAGGGGAGGUUUUUCUUUCUUUUUUUUAAGCAGUAUUUUAUUUCCUUGCAGAUUUUUUUCUCUAGAAUUUGAGGAGAAAUGUCAGAAAUCACAUUGGUAGAAGGACAGGGGAGAAUUUAGCCAUAGUAGAUAAUUUGUUUUUGUAAUGAACUAAGUAUGUGCAUUGCUGUGUUGUCUUUUAUUUUCUUUCUUUUUCCUCCCCCUUUUGGUCUGUGCUUUCCAUGAGAUGUCUUGAUGAAAUCCAAGGUACAAUAUCUUGCAGAGAUUUCUCCGUCUGAGAAUUUCUGUUUAGCGUGGAAGGUUCCGAUUUUGGUAUUUUUAAGAACUGCUCAGCUGUCAAAAGCAAACAAAACGGGAAUAAUGUUUUGACAGCGGUAUAGUGUUAAAGAAAAUACUCGAGUCUGAAUAAAAAUUGCUUAUGCUGUGGGAAACGAAGGGUAACAGAAGAAACACCUUUUGUUUACAUACACACAUGUUUAUAAUCCCAAAUUUCCAUUUCGCCGAGCGGGUCUGCGUUGGGAGUUGUAGUCACCAUAAAUGAGGGAUUUUUCUUCCAGAUUUUGCUGCCUUUAAGGCGAAGAGAGGAGGGGAGCGCACCUCCGGCAGCGCUGCCGCCCGAGCCCUGCCCGUCGCGGCGAGCGGGCACCGCAGGGCCGAAGAGGAGAUGCCGGGGGGAGCCGGGCGCUCCCCACCUUUCACUCAUAGCCGCAGACAGAGCGAGGGAGAGACAAUUGCCCCAGACCAGGCAGCAAAAUGCUGGGGUUAGAAGACUGCGAGCCAGUUUCCUGCAUACCACUAUAAUUAAUUUGAGUGCGGAGAUCAAAGAUCCGAGGGCGAAGGGAAUAAUUGAUUCUGCCAGAAAACGCUUCCCCGGCGCAGCCCACGGUCAGCCGCCACCCACGGCAGGUCCCGUGCUGCUCUGUUCCCCCACUACCCUGCACCAGGUUCCCUGAACAAGCCGGUGGCCAAACACCUUCCCGAGGCAGUGGUGCUCGAGUCCCUCCAUCUUCAGUGAAAAUGGAGCAGACCAUGAGGGAUGACAUGGGUCCAGGCUGAAACUCCACUCGCGGUGUUUAUUUUGUGCAAUUCGAUGCAGGCCCUCUCAUUUCAGCUGUUUGAAACGAUGUGUCGCUAGGAAGAGGUCACAGGUGACUGGCAAGUUCAACCUACUUAGCUCAAUUAUCCAAGUUUCAUUUCCAAAUUGUGUUCAAUUUGAUCUUCCUGCUUCCCUCCAAAUUAUCUUAGAGAAAAAAAAAUCAAAUGAAAGCAGACAAUUUAAGCCAAAUCCUGUAUACUAUUAUUUAUAUGCAAAACCAUUUUUGUGAUAUAUACUCCCCAUAAUGACUAUGGAAUGCCAGAUCUUUCCAAGUGAAUUUACAAACCUAGCCAUCAAAUUAUUUCAAAGGCAG
rnacentral:lncRNA from 12 species